rnacentral:tRNA from 1 species
GGAUAUAACUCACUGGUAGAGUGUUUGCCUUGCAUGCAUAAGGCCCUGGGUUCAAUCCCAGCACCA